rnacentral:rRNA from 1 species
UACGUAGGGGGCGAGCGUUGUCCGGAAUUAUUGGGCGUAAAGGGUUCGCAGGCGGAAAUAUAAGUCAGGUGUAAAAGGCGGAGGCUCAACCUCCGUAAGCAUUUGAAACUAUAUUUCUUGAGAUAUGGAGAGGUAAGUGGAAUUCCUAGUGUAGCGGUGAAAUGCGUAGAUAUUAGGAGGAAUACCAGUGGCGAAGGCGACUUACUGGACAUAUACUGACGCUGAGGAACGAAAGCAUGGGUAGCAAACAGG